UCACAGUGGCGGCCUACGUGGACUACAGCUCCCCUUGCCCUGCGAGGCUGGAUCGGAGAGGAUCAAGAGGAGAGAUACUUUGAUCAAGCGUAUCAAGGUGGAGGCGGAAGGUUACCUGAGAGAGAAGACUUGGACCAAAUACAUCUGCGCGAACGAGUCGACCAAGGG